UGAGGAAAGCUUGCUUUCCUUGAUGACGACUGGCGCACGGGUGAGUAACGCGUAUCCAACCUUCCCAUAACUACGGGAUAACCCGUUGAAAGACGGCCUAAUACCGUAUGAUAUCGUUUGCUGACAUCAAAUAACGAUUAAAGGUUUAGCGGUUAUGGAUGGGGAUGCGUCUGAUUAGCUUGUUGGCGGGGUAACGGCCCACCAAGGCUACGAUCAGUAGGGGUUCUGAGAGGAAGGUCCCCCACAUUGGAACUGAGACACGGUCCAAACUCCUACGGGAGGCAGCAGUGAGGAAUAUUGGUCAAUGGGCGAGAGCCUGAACCAGCCAAGUAGCGUGCAGGAAGACGGCCCUAUGGGUUGUAAACUGCUUUUAUGUGGGGAUAAAGUGCGUGACGUGUCAUGCAUUGCAGGUACCACAUGAAUAAGGACCGGCUAAUUCCGUGCCAGCAGCCGCGGUAAUACGGAAGGUCCGGGCGUUAUCCGGAUUUAUUGGGUUUAAAGGGAGCGUAGGCUGUCUAUUAAGCGUGUUGUGAAAUUUACCGGCUCAACCGGUGGCUUGCAGCGCGAACUGGUCGACUUGAGUAUGCAGGAAGUAGGCGGAAUUCAUGGUGUAGCGGUGAAAUGCUUAGAUAUCAUGACGAACUCCGAUUGCGCAGGCAGCUUACUGUAGCAUAACUGACGCUGAUGCUCGAAAGUGCGGGUAUCA
rnacentral:rRNA from 1 species